rnacentral:ncRNA from 2 species
ACCACGGGCCGUGACUGGCGCGCUAGGGAUGGGACCGACCAUCGGGGAGCGGCCCGAACGGGAAACUGUGCCGUGCGCCUGGGCCGAACCG